rnacentral:rRNA from 1 species
UGCCAGCCGCCGCGGUAAUACGGAGGGGGCUAGCGUUGUUCGGAAUUACUGGGCGUAAAGGGCGUGUAGGCGGCCAAUUAAGUCAGAGGUGAAAUCCCCGAGCUCAACUUGGGAACUGCCUUUGAUACUGAUUGGCUAGAGUUCGGGAGAGGGUAGUGGAAUUCCCAGUGUAGAGGUGAAAUUCGUAGAUAUUGGGAAGAACACCAGUGGCGAAGGCGGCUACCUGGACCGAUACUGACGCUGAGGCGCGAAAGCGUGGGGAGCAAACAGGAUUAGAUA